AUGAACGCUGGCGGCGUGCCUAAUACAUGCCAGUCGAGCGAACGGACGAGAAGCUUGCUUCUCUGAUGUUAGCGGCGGACGGGUGAGUAACACGUGGAUAACCUACCUAUAAGACUGGGAUAACUUCGGGAAACCGGAGCUAAUACCGGAUAAUAUUUUGAACCGCAUGGUUCAAAAGUGAAAGACGGUCUUGCUGUCACUUAUAGAUGGAUCCGCGCUGCAUUAGCUAGUUGGUAAGGUAACGGCUUACCAAGGCAACGAUGCAUAGCCGACCUGAGAGGGUGAUCGGCCACACUGGAACUGAGACACGGUCCAGACUCCUACGGGAGGCAGCAGUAGGGAAUCUUCCGCAAUGGGCGAAAGCCUGACGGAGCAACGCCGCGUGAGUGAUGAAGGUCUUCGGAUCGUAAAACUCUGUUAUUAGGGAAGAACAUAUGUGUAAGUAACUGUGUACAUCUUGACGGUACCUAAUCAGAAAGCCACGGCUAACUACGUG
rnacentral:rRNA from 1 species